AACUUUUAUUCUAGUUCAUAAAACAAGAUGUGAAGAAAUAAUGUUUUAUACGUAAUUGUAUAUCCAAUUGGCAAGGUAGUAUAUGUGUUCAUUUUUCUUCUACAACUGAGUCUCAAUAAAUGCAUAUAUAUGAUAAAAAUAUGAUAAUAGACAAGUAGAUAAUAGGUAGAUAGCAGAUAUAACAGAUAAGUAGAUGCUAAGUCUACACAGCUGAGGAAUCAGACCUAAAAUUAUACCAUCAGUUUAGUUACAAUUUUGUGCCUAUAUAAUUUUUUAGAAGCCUAAACAUUAAAAUUUAAUACUCUUGUUAUCCUACAAGAAUAUUGGUUAACAUUUGAAUUACUGUAAAAAAUAUUCUAAAAUAGUCAAACCAAUUUACAAUUGCAAUAUACAAUCAAGAUCACCUGCAUGAAGACAAAAUUAAUAAAAGUGCAUCAGACUUUCAUUAACUUAAAUAACCAAUAUUAUUGUUUUCCUAAAGAUAAAGUUUCAUUUUAAGAAUAAAUGUCAAAUUAUUUUCAAUUUGCUGUAUAAGAAUUACUAGUUGGCGAAAUGAGUCAAUCCUCUGUUGGGGAGCAAUGUUGUUGGUGAACAGUGGUCAACCAGUCUAUACUUUGGGGAACAGGAGCAGGAUUGGUCAUCAAAAUGAGAGAAUCUGACCUACUGUACUAUUGUCUAUGAGAUGUCUUUCAUUUUGAUGUAGGUUUCUCCUUUAUUAGUAAACAGAUGACUUUUUAGUGAGGAAAAAACCCUGUUUUUUUCAUCUCAAUAGUCUUCUUAUAAAUUGAUGAAGAAGCUCAUCAAUAAAGAAAACUUGGUACACACCAGCUUUCAUGUAAAUUGUAUCAAUUCUUAACUAGAUUUUGCCUAGGAGCUAAUUUUUCAGACAUGAAAUUGCUUGGAAAUCCAGAAGGAUUUUCUUUUUCAUCUGGG
rnacentral:lncRNA from 1 species